CUCCACCCGAGACUCAGUGAAAUUGAACUCGCUGUGAAGAUGCAGUGUACCCGCGGCAAGACGGAAAGACCCCGUGAACCUUUACUAUAGCUUGACACUGAACAUUGAGCCUUGAUGUGUAGGAUAGGUGGGAGGCUUUGAAGUGUGGACGCCAGUCUGCAUGGAGCCGGCCUUGAAAUACCACCCUUUAAUGUUUGAUGUUCUAACGUGGACCCGUGAUCCGGGUUGCGGACAGUGUCUGGUGGGUAGUUUGACUGGGGCGGUCUCCUCCUAAAGAGUAACGGAGGAGCACGAAGGUUGGCUAAUCCUGGUCGGACAUCAGGAGGUUAGUGCAAUGGCAUAAGCCAGCUUGACUGCGAGCGUGACGGCGCGAGCAGGUGCGAAAGCAGGUCAUAGUGAUCCGGUGGUUCUGAAUGGAAGGGCCAUCGCUCAACGGAUAAAAGGUACUCCGGGGAUAACAGGCUGAUACCGCCCAAGAGUUCAUAUCGACGGCGGUGUUUGGCACCUCGAUGUCGGCUCAUCACAUCCUGGGGCUGAAGUAGGUCCCAAGGGUAUGGCUGUUCGCCAUUUAAAGUGGUACGCGAGCUGGGUUUAGAACGUCGUGAGACAGUUCGGUCCCUAUCUGCCGUGGGCGCUGGAGAACUGAGGGGGGCUGCUCCUAGUACGAGAGGACCGGAGUGGACGCAUCACUGGUGUUCGGGUUGUCAUGCCAAUGGCACUGCCCGGUAGCUAAAUGCGGAAGAGAUAAGUGCUGAAAGCAUCUAAGCACGAAACUUGCCCCGAGAUGAGUUCUCCCUGACCCUUUAAGGGUCCUGAAGGAACGUUGAAGACGACGACGUUGAUAGGCCGGGUGUGUAAGCGCAGCGAUGCGUUGAGCUAACCGGUACUAAUGAACCGUGAGGCUUAACCUU
rnacentral:rRNA from 1 species